UCCAUAUGAUUCUAAGUUGUUUAAAUAUGAGGCUAGUUUAAUCAAGUAAAUAUGAGCUUGAAUUCAGUAGUAGCACCUGAAGCCUGUAGUAAGCAGUAAGAGUUCUUUUUCUAUAUAUAUGCGUCUUUGUGUCGGCCGGCGUACGGGUACUUUGUAUGUAUUCGUUUUAUUAAAUGCAUUCUGGUUAGGAUUUGGUCAUGGCAUCACCUUGAUGUUUUGAUUUCUUUAAAUCUGGUUGCAAGUUUACUGUUUUUCCACAACCAUCAACUUACACUUUGGGCAUUGGGCAUUGGAAUUUAGGCAUUUAUGUAUAAUUUUAGUUUUGGAUGUAUCCAAUGCAAAAUUACUGUCAUCUGUCAAGUUGAUUCUAAAAUGUCUCAUGAUCUUCAUUUCAGAUGGUGAUGUCUGGAUAUAGUACCAAUUUAUCUUACAUGAUAGCAUUGUCUCGUGUAUCAAUUUUUUGUUAAUGGAAAUGUUAAGAAAUCAUGAAAUUUAUUUGGACUUGCACACAUUAGGUAAGAAAGGAUCGCUAAUCUGGUUGUCCAAAUGAUGGUAAAACUUAGGCUCUUGCAUGGUUUUUGGAUUUAUGGUUCUGUUAGCAUAUAUUAUUCAUAUUGAGACUGAACAUGUGGCUUUUCUUCUCAUCUACAGGAGAGUGACAGGAGAGUUACAGGAUUAUUAUUUUUAAAGAAGUUGGAAGUCCAAGUCAAUGACUUGCUUUAUAUGUCUGUUGUAAUGUCAAAUUUUCUGGGAAUUUGGAUGUAUUGUUCAUCUUGCUGAGAAUUUUGUGUAUAUUUGCUCGCUAAAUUUAUUAAUCAAAUGCUAGAAUUCAUGUACAAAUCCUUGGAAUAAUAUUUUGUGUUUACUUGAAAUGCAUUUUUGGAUUGAACAUGGUCAAAAAAGAAUAUAUUAGUAUUAAACUUAGGUUGAUUCUAUGUUUGUGUUGUCACAUGUAUUUGAAAGACACAGGCCUCGCCCAAAUGAAAAACUGGCCAAAAUGUGUAUAGGAUAAGAUAUAUCUGUGCCUUCAUAAUUCUACAAACCAAAAAGAAUGGGAUUACAAAAAGCACAAGGUCUAACAAAUAAAUGGACUACUAAAAUCUCGAGGCCCAAAAUUGAAUGGGCUGUAGAAAACCCACUAACGACCUUUUCAUUUUGUCGUAAUUUUGCCAUGUCAGCUUGCCACGUCAGAUCCGACAUGGUGUGGGCAGAUUGCGAGCGACCAAAACAUUGAUCGUAGAAUCAACGACCUUUUAUUUUGGUCGUUAUAGUUCAUUAGAGACCCUCAGCUUUUGACCUUCUAUUUUUGGUCGUAGAAAGGUCGCAAAUGGAAACCAACUACCAUUCGGUGACAAAUAUUGAAGGUCGUUAGUUAGCAUAUUUCUUGUAGUGCUUGGGAACCCUGCGCACAUCAUUUGGGGA
rnacentral:lncRNA from 1 species